AAAACCCCUGCUAAAAUCAAAAUGUUCUUCUGGCUGCUAGCUCGCAAGAGUAUUCUAACCAAAGAUAAUUUGAUCAAAAAAGGGUGGAAAGGAGGAAAAGAAUGUGUGUUCUGUGGACAUGAGGAAAAUACCAACCGCCUGUUCUUUGAGUGUUCAGCUAACAGACUUGUCUUGUGUCUGAUAAAAUGUGCCUUUGAUUUGAGAACAAUGUUGGAACUGAUCUCAGGUUGUUAUAGACAGAAAUAAAAGGGGGAGUCCAAUCCCAGAUUGGUGCUUUGAUCGGGGGGCACCCAAACCCAACGUUUGGUUUCGGUCCCCGGUCCAUCAGCCCCUCAUAUAAAAGGAAGAGGUCACGUACCUCUUCAGAUAAGAAAAAACACAAACGGGUUAAAACCCCGAGUGCUAACAACCGAUCCUAAAAGAGGGAGCUGAUGGGCUGGAAGACCGUCUACCACCACCGGCCACCUCCAGGGCAGUGCCAGCAGCACCCUGCAUGUCCAUCUUCCUGCUGCUGCUUCUUCCCCAACAAGCUUCACACUGCAGGAGGCUCACGGCAGCUGCACAGAGCCCCAGCUGGUGAGCGACGCUGCUGCUGCUCAUCACGUAAUCCUGGUGUUGUCCUUCCCCGGCCAUGAAGGACCCAAGGUGCAGCCAUUGGACUAGUAAUAGAUUUACAAUGAUUCUGGUUAGUACCUAAUCUUCCGCAUAUGUAUUUUGGUGUUCUAAUCACGAGAUUAAGAUCAUGUCAUGUUAAUCCUAAAGAGUUACUCUAACAUUGGAAUCUAGAGCAAGGUUAAUCUCGGUUAGAACCCCAAUUAGACCUUGUUUUAAUGUUAAUCACUCAUGUCAGGGUCUAAUUGCUCAUGUUCUGGUACUAAUUAAUCGUCUUUAAGAUCUCAAGUGGUUACGUUAAGGUGCUGAUUAUAUUCUUAUGUGAUAAUAGUCAUGAUCUAGUAAUUAACUGAUUACAGGUCUGAAGUUAAGAUCUGAUUUCGGUCGUAUGCCAACUAAGACUCAAAGUUCAUGUGGUAAAAGUUUUAGUAGCUACGAGCUUUUCAAUUCGUAAUGUUUAUAGCUCAACAUCUAUUCAAGGUCUGUUAGCUAUUAAUCACGUGAGUUUGGAUCGGAAAGCAAUUAGAAGGAGGGGAAUAUGUAUGUUUCAAGAAACUACAAAAGAAAAAAUGUGCAAAAUGCUUGAGGUUAGGGCCUCACCUAAUGGCCGCGUCGUCGCCUCCUACCCUCCGGGAUUCGCACGCCGAAGCCGCGCCGCCGUUGACUCCCGUCGGAGAAGACGCGCGGGAAGAUGUGCCCCGCCGUGCCGCCCUUAAGGACUAAGACGCCGCUCGGUCUCCGCGCCCCGCACGUCUCUGUCGUCUCCCCUCUCGCCGUUGCACCGCUGCCUAAUGCCACGCGCGCAGCACGGGUAGCCACGCUCGACGGAGUAGCGCGCGGGAUCUCUCCGCUGCAUGCUACUCCGGCGAGCGGAGCCGCCGAGCCGCCAUGGAUGCCGGCGAACUGGGCGCCGAGCCGCCGCCUGGCAGAGCGCCCGCCGCUUCGCUCUCUCACUCUCGAACGUGCGAGAAUAGC
rnacentral:lncRNA from 1 species